GACGGUUGGUGUCGGUUCGGCUGCUGGGGUCGGAUUCCGCGGUCCCAGCCUUUCCCCAUGGCAGACGCUGAGGAGUUUCAGGUUUCUUUGCCGCCCUCGCCGCCUCUCUCUUCUCCCUCCUCUUCAGACGCCUCUGCAGCAUCUUCCCCGGGCGGCCCAGUGAAUUUGGGCUGGCCAGUUCCGAGCAGGAGCAGCGGCCGAACGGUGGACCCGCUGGAGGAAGUGGAGCUGCAGAUGGGAGAUGCAGCCUUUUCAUUAACCAAACUUCUUGAAGCCACAUCUGCAGUAUCAGCUCAAGUGGAAGAGCUUGCCUUCAAAUAUACAGAAAAUGCACGUUUCCUUAAAACGUGGCGAGACCUCUUGAAAGAAGUCUAUGAUUCUUUGAAACCUGAUGACUAAUUUGGCAUACUUCGUUAUUUAACAACGACUGCAAUCAUUCAUACGUCUUAUGUCAUAUUUGUACAUGUACCACACGUAUAGAAUGACCUCUGUCAAGCAGUUCUGCAUAUACUCAGAAUGAAAUUUUUCUUGGUUUUCUUGGCUUCUGUGAAAGCAGAAUACCGAUGCUGUUUUUGUUGCGGACCAGUACUAGUUUGUCCUUAAAUACUUUAUGCCUCUGAACUUUCACAGAAUCCUUUAUGAAAGUCAACUUCAUCAAUACCUGGUUAAUAUUAAUAGAGCCACAGUGCUACCAUUAGCAAACUAGGUAGACCAUUAUU